rnacentral:rRNA from 1 species
AUUGAACGCUGGCGGCAGGCCUAACACAUGCAAGUCGAGCGAGCGGCGGACGGGUGAGUAAUGUAUGGGGAACUGCCUGAUGGAGGGGGAUAACUACUGGAAACGGUAGCUAAUACCGCAUACCAUCAGAUGUACCCAUAUGGGAUUAGCUUGUAGGUGAGGUAACGGCUCACCAAGGCGACGAUCCCUAGCUGGUCUGAGAGGAUGACCAGUCACACUGGAACUGAGACACGGUCCAGACUCCUACGGGAGGCAGCAGUGGGGAAUAUUGGACAAUGGGCGAAAGCCUGAUACAGCCAUGCCGCGUGUAUGAAGAAGGUCUUCGGAUUGUAAAGCACUUUAAGUUGGGAGGCGUUACCAGCAGAAUAAGCACCGGCUAACUUCGUGCCAGCCGCCGCGGUAAUUC